GGGGACUGAGACACGGCCCUUACUCCUACGGGAGGCAGCAGUGGGGAAUAUUGGACAAUGGACCAAAGUCUGAUCCAGCAAUUCUGUGUGCACGAUGACGGUCUUAGGAUUGUAAAGUGCUUUCAAUCGGGAAAAAGAAAGUGAUGGUACCGAUAGAAGAAGCGACGGCUAAAUACGUGCCAGCAGCCGCGGUAAUACGUAUGUCGCAAGCGUUAUCCGGAUUUAUUGGGCGUAAAGCGCGUCUAGGCGGUUUGGUAAGUCUGAUGUGGAAAUGCGGGGCUCAACUCCGUAUUGCGUUGGAAACUGCCAGACUAGAGUACUGGAGAGGUGGGCGGAACUACAAGUGUAGAGGUGAAAUUCGUAGAUAUUUGUAGGAAUGCCGAUAGAGAA
rnacentral:rRNA from 1 species